AUACUCACUUUGGCAGCACAUAAACUAAAACUGAAACAGUACAGAAAGAUUAUCAUGGCCCCUGUGCAAGGAUGACAUGCAAAUUCAUGAAGCGUCCACAUUAAAA